rnacentral:sRNA from 12 species
AGACUUGGUCGUAGAGCCACGACCAACACAAGGGCUUGGAAACAACCCUUUGAUUUAAAAAACGCUCACCAAGA